rnacentral:misc_RNA from 1 species
CCUACCUGAUCCGAGGUCAACCUAAAAAAUAAAAGGCUUUUACGGCAGGGCGCAAGCCGGGGCGUCCAGAGCGAAGAGUGUUUACUGCGCUCGGAGCCGACCAGCCAGCCCGCCACUUGCUUUCGGGGCCUGCGGCCAGGCCGCAGAAGAGCCCCAACAGCAGGCGCACGAGGCGCCUGAGGGUGGAAAUGACGCUCGGACAGGCAUGCCUGCCAGAAUACUGGCAGGCGCAAUGUGCGUUCAAAGAUUUGAUGAUUCACUAAAUUCUGCAAUUCACAUUACUUAUCGCGUUUUGCUGCGUUCUUCAUCGAUGCCAGAACCAAGAGAUCCGUUGUUGAAAGUUUUGACUAUUUUGUCUUUUCUUUUUUGCUCAGACGAGCCACAAAUCAGGCAAGCGUUUAACAUAAAGGCCGUGCCUGCCACCCCCGGCCGGUGCCCCUGGCGCGUACGCCAGGCGCCUUGCGGGCGCCCCUCGGACAGGGCGCCGCCGGCCGGAAGCAACAAGACAGCAGAACGUCGGUAUGGUUCACAUGGGUUGGGAGUUGAAAACUCGGAAUGAUCCCUC